rnacentral:rRNA from 1 species
AGAGUUUGAUCCUGGCUCAGGAUGAACGCUAGCGGCAGGCUUAACACAUGCAAGUCGAGGGGUAACGGGGCGUAGCAAUACGCUGCCGACGACCGGCGCACGGGUGCGUAACGCGUAUGCAACCUACCUGUAACAGGGGUAUAACGGGGUGAAAAUCCCACUAAUCCCCCAUAUUGUUGGAGAUUCGCAUGGUUUUCCAACGAAAGGUUUUUCUGGUUACAGAUGGGCAUGCGUGACAUUAGCUAGUUGGUAGGGCAACGGCCUACCAAGGCGACGAUGUCUAGGGGAGCUGAGAGGCUUAUCCCCCACACUGGUACUGAGACACGGACCAGACUCCUACGGGAGGCAGCAGUGAGGAAUAUUGGUCAAUGGACGGAAGUCUGAACCAGCCAUGCCGCGUGGAGGAAGAAGGUCCUAUGGGUUGUAAACUCCUUUUGUUCCGGAGUAAUAAGUGCCUUGCGAGGCACGAUGAGAGUACGGGACGAAUAAGCAUCGGCUAACUCCGUGCCAGCAGCCGCGGUAAUACGGAGGAUGCAAGCGUUAUCCGGAUUUAUUGGGUUUAAAGGGUGCGUAGGCGGUCCGGUAAGCGGGAUGUGAAAAGCAACGGCUCAACCGUUGUCGUGCAUCCCGAACUGUCGGACUGGAAUACUCCUGCCGUGGGAGGAAUGGGUAGUGUAGCGGUGAAAUGCAUAGAUAUUACCCAGAACACCGAUUGCGAAGGCAUCUCACGAAGGGGCGAUUGACGCUGAGGCACGAAAGCGUGGGGAUCGAACAGGAUUAGAUACCCUGGUAGUCCACGCAGUAAACGAUGAUGACUAACCGCCGGCGGUAUACAGAUCGGUGGCCAAGCGAAAGCGAUAAGUCAUCCACCUGGGGAGUACGACCGCAAGGUUGAAACUCAAAGGAAUUGACGGGGGCCCGCACAAGCGGAGGAACAUGUGGUUUAAUUCGAUGAUACGCGAGGAACCUUACCCGGGCUCGAACGGCAAGUGAAGCGAAGCAGAGAUGCUGACGUCCUUCGGGACACUUGUCGAGGUGCUGCAUGGUUGUCGUCAGCUCGUGCCGUGAGGUGUCGGCUCAAGUGCCAUAACGAGCGCAACCCUUGCCGUCAGUUACCAGCGCGUUAAGGCGGGGACUCUGGCGGGACUGCCACCGCAAGGUGAGAGGAAGGGGGGGAUGACGUCAAAUCAGCACGGCCCUUACGUCCGGGGCGACACACGUGUUACAAUGGCGGCCACAGAGGGGACCUACCUGGCGACAGGGAGGAAAUCCGAAAAAAGCCGCCUCAGUUCGGAUCGGAGUCUGCAACCCGACUCCGUGAAGCUGGAUUCGCUAGUAAUCGCGCAUCAGCCAUGGCGCGGUGAAUACGUUCCCGGGCCUUGUACACACCGCCCGUCAAGCCAUGGAAGUCCGGGGCGCCUGAAGUUCGUGACCGCAAGGAGCGACCUAGGGCGAAACGGGUAACUGGGGCUAAGUCGUAACAAGGUA